rnacentral:misc_RNA from 1 species
CCGUCAAACUGAUUUCGGUCCAAAACCUCAAUAUGGCAGAGUAGAAAUACAACAAAACACCAGUGACUCAACCAGGAGCCCAUGAAAGUUACAACCUAAACUUUUUGGGUUCAAUUUAUGUUUUAUAAUCUGGUGAAGUUUGGAUAAAUGAAUCUAAUUCAUAGGACAUAUCAGAGGGACAAGGAUCCAUAAAACACUACUUCAGCUGGGCCAGUCAUAUAUACAUGGUUGUCAUCUUCCCUCCACUCAAUCUCCAAAGGCCCUCCAGGUAAAUCAACUGUGCAUUUCCUCCCAGCACGACCCUCAAGAACAGCAGCAACCACUGUUGCACAGGCUCCAGUUCCACAUGCUAAUGUUGCCCCUGCCCCACGCUCCCAUACGUGCAUUUUAAGGUGUGAAUGGGAGUGAACUUGCACAAAUUCUGUGUUUGUUCGUGCUGGGAACACAUCAUGAUGCUCAAAUUUGGGGCCAAUUUCAACCAAGUUUAAUUUAUCAACCUGCAAAUCCUUGCUUUCUUUGGUCCCAAAUGUUACACAAUGAGGAUUUCCCAUACUAACACAAGUCACAUGCCAGGUUACUCCAUCCACAUUUAGCUCUGAAUGAACAACGGCAUCAUCUUUAUUUGCAGGCAAUUUUGUUGGUACAUCUGAUGCUUUAAGUAUUGGCUCACCCAUAUCAACCCUAACUUUUCCAUCCUCUUGAAUUUCAGGAACAAUUAAACCAGCACCAGUAUGUAUAGUAAAACUCUGCUUCCCUUGUAAAUUUUCUAGCUCAGCAAUGAACCUGGCAAAGCACCGCACCCCAUUACCACACAUCUCUGGCUCACUACCAUCUGAGUUAAAAAUCCUCAUGGUAUAAUCAGUGCCAUUUGUCCCCGGCAUAGCGAAAAUAACUCCAUCAGCACCAAUUCCAAAGUUCCUAUCACAUAGCCUCACUGCUUGCUCCGGAGUAAUCCUAGGCUCAGUAGAAUCCCUAUUAUCGACCAAAAUGAAGUCAUUGCCGAGGCCUUGAUACUUUACAAAGUGGAGGACACCACUUUCUCUGCGAUCAAGAAAAGACGAAGGCGAGACCUUAUCGGUAGCUUCAAUAUUCAUAGCAGAAGAUACCAAUAAGUUAAAGUUAGGGUUUUUGGAAGAAAUGAUUGGAACGAAAGAAUGGGAUUGAAGUGUAGGAAAAGAAAUAGAAGUAGAAGAAGAUGACGAGAGAGAACUGAAACGAUUAAUGGGGGUAAGAGCCUGGCGAAUUGACGGCGUGAACGAGUUAGAGAUGGCAACUGUUGCUGCUACGGCCAUGGCUCUGUCUUCUGUUUGGUGUUGGGUGUUCAAUUUCAAAGUGAGAAUCUAGGUUUUGAUCUGGCGCGGUUUCUGUUAG